rnacentral:hammerhead_ribozyme from 1 species
CUCCAGAUCACGAGUCCCAAAUAGGACGAAAUGCGCGUUGUCCUGGAU